rnacentral:tRNA from 1 species
GCCUAGGUGGCUCAGUCGGUUGAGCGUCUGACUUUGGCUCAGGUCAUGAUCUUGCGGCUUGUGGGUUCAGGCCCCACAUUGGACU